rnacentral:lncRNA from 1 species
UUUUUCUCUCCCACACACGGACACACACACACACACACACACACACACACACACACACACACACACACACACACACACACACACACACACACACACACACACACACACACACACACACACACACACACACACACACACACACACACACACACACUCUCGCUCUCUUUUUUUUUUAAGCUCUCUGUUAUUAUUUUCUGGUAAUUCUCGAGUGUUUCUGUGAGUCUCUCGCCCUCUCAGUGUUUUGAUUGCUAGGAGGAAAACCAACGUGGAGGCGACGGCGACACUUUGUUUACUACUGAGGAGCAGAGACGAGUACUCGGGAAGCCCGAGUGGAACGAGUCGCUCGCUUCGCCUCGACCUCCGCUCGGGGCCCAAAGCGGGGCCUGGCGGGGGCCGGGGACGCUCAGCGCUCCGGGGGCGCUGGGUGGGCGGGCGGGCGGAGGCGGCCUCGCUGCAUUCUGCUCAAUCACCACCUCUCGACUCUGCCCACGAUUUCUUUGCAGAGAAACGUGGGGAAGUCGAAUGGAAGUGCUGAGGUGUUGAGAAGUGAAAACGGAAGAGGGGAGAGGACCAGAGCCUUGGGGUGCAGCCCUGCCCCACUCGCAGGUGUUCCUUUAGGCUGCUUGCUCCGUGCGUCCAUCAACCCACCCCACCUUUCCCCAUCUGGGCUCCAGGUCCAGGACGUCCUGCCGAGAUCGGUGGGGCAAAAGACACAAACCGACAAGGCCUGGGGAAAGGAGCAGAAUGCCUCCACCUGGAUAGGAAAACAAAUCACGUGUGUCCCUCGCUCAUCUCCAGCCAAGGCUAUAGUGUGAGUAGAAAGCUCUGGAAACACAGUGGCUCUCUUAUAGAUCACAGUAGCUGUUUUAUCAAGUAUGCUGUGAUGUUGGCCCUACCUGCAAAAUAUGAUAAAAUUAAAUCACCAAUGGCUCUUCCAAGAAAAGCAGAAAAUCAACAAAGCACGAUCAACUGAAGUUCUUUUAUUCCCUAAGUAGUGUUCAAUUUAUUCUGCAUUUUGAAAUUUUAUCUUGAUAUUACUUGCCACCUACAUAGCUCAAAGAGGUAUUGUAAGGAUUAAAGUAAUGUCUUAAAG